UUUUUUUUUUUUUUUUUUUUUUUUUUUUUUUUUUUUGCCUCAU
rnacentral:ribozyme from 13 species